CCUACGGGAGGCUGCAGUGAGGAAUAUUAGUCAAUGGGCGGGAGCCUGAACCAGCCAAGCCGCGUGAGGGAAGAAGGUACAGCGUAUCGUAAACCUCUUUUGUCAGGGAACAAAGGCGGGGACUAGUCCCCUUAUGAGGGUACCUUAAGAAAAAGCAUCGGCUAACUCCGUUCCAGCAGCCGCGGUUAUACGGAGGAUGCGAGCGUUAUCCGGAUUUAUUGGGUUUAAAGGGUGCGCGGGCGGCCUGUUAAGUUAGCGGUAAAAGCCCGGGGCUCAACCCCGGCGAGCCGUUGAAACUGGCGGGCUGGAGUUGGAGAGAGGUAGGCGGAAUGGGCGGUGUAGCGGUGAAAUGCUUAGA
rnacentral:rRNA from 1 species